rnacentral:rRNA from 1 species
CAGGCUUAACACAUGCAAGUCGAGGGGCAGCAUGGUCUUAGCUUGCUAAGGCCGAUGGCGACCGGCGCACGGGUGAGUAACACGUGUCCAACCUGCCGUCUACUCUUGGACAGCCUUCUGAAAGGAAGAUUAAUACAAGAUGGCAUCAUGAGUCCGCAUGUUCACAUGAUUAAAGGUAUUCCGGUAGACGAUGGGGAUGCGUUCCAUUAGAUAGUAGGCGGGGUAACGGCCCACCUAGUCUUCGAUGGAUAGGGGUUCUGAGAGGAAGGUCCCCCACAUUGGAACUGAGACACGGUCCAAACUCCUACGGGAGGCAGCAGUGAGGAAUAUUGGUCAAUGGGCGAGAGCCUGAACCAGCCAAGUAGCGUGAAGGAUGACUGCCCUAUGGGUUGUAAACUUCUUUUAUAAAGGAAUAAAGUCGGGUAUGGAUACCCGUUUGCAUGUACUUUAUGAAUAAGGAUCGGCUAACUCCGUGCCAGCAGCCGCGGUAAUACGGAGGAUCCGAGCGUUAUCCGGAUUUAUUGGGUUUAAAGGGAGCGUAGAUGGAUGUUUAAGUCAGUUGUGAAAGUUUGCGGCUCAACCGUAAAAUUGCAGUUGAUACUGGAUAUCUUGAGUGCAGUUGAGGCAGGCGGAAUUCGUGGUGUAGCGGUGAAAUGCUUAGAUAUCACGAAGAACUCCGAUUGCGAAGGCAGCCUGCUAAGCUGCAACUGACAUUGAGGCUCGAAAGUGUGGGUAUCAAACAGGAUUAGAUACCCUGGUAGUCCACACGGUAAACGAUGAAUACUCGCUGUUUGCGAUAUACAGCAAGCGGCCAAGCGAAAGCGUUAAGUAUUCCACCUGGGGAGUACGCCGGCAACGGUGAAACUCAAAGGAAUUGACGGGGGCCCGCACAAGCGGAGGAACAUGUGGUUUAAUUCGAUGAUACGCGAGGAACCUUACCCGGGCUUAAAUUGCAGAUGAAUUACGGUGAAAGCCGUAAGCCGCAAGGCAUCUGUGAAGGUGCUGCAUGGUUGUCGUCAGCUCGUGCCGUGAGGUGUCGGCUUAAGUGCCAUAACGAGCGCAACCCUUGUUGUCAGUUACUAACAGGUUCCGCUGAGGACUCUGACAAGACUGCCAUCGUAAGAUGUGAGGAAGGUGGGGAUGACGUCAAAUCAGCACGGCCCUUACGUCCGGGGCUACACACGUGUUACAAUGGGGGGUACAGAGGGCCGCUACCACGCGAGUGGAUGCCAAUCCCCAAAACCUCUCUCAGUUCGGACUGGAGUCUGCAACCCGACUCCACGAAGCUGGAUUCGCUAGUAAUCGCGCAUCAGCCACGGCGCGGUGAAUACGUUCCCGGGCCUUGUACACACCGCCCGUCAAGCCAUGGGAGCCGGGGGUACCUGAAGUGCGUAACCGCGAGGAGCGCCCUAGGGUAAAACUGGUGACUGGGGCUAAGUCAUAAC